GGCAAAAGCUCAAAUUUGAAAUCUAGCACUUUCAGUGUUCGAGUUGUAAUUUGAAGAAGGUAACUUUGGAAUUGGCUCUUGUCUAUGUUCCUUGGAACAGGACGUCACAGAGGGUGAGAAUCCCGUGCGAUGAGAUGUCCAAUUCUAUGUAAAGUGCUUUCGAAGAGUCGAGUUGUUUGGGAAUGCAGCUCUAAGUGGGUGGUAAAUUCCAUCUAAAGCUAAAUAUUGGCGAGAGACCGAUAGCGAACAAGUACAGUGAUGGAAAGAUGAAAAGAACUUUGAAAAGAGAGUGAAAAAGUACGUGAAAUUGUUGAAAGGGAAGGGCUUGAGAUCAGACUUGGUAUUUUGUGUUCCUUAUUCUUUUUGGAUUUGGUUCCUCACAGCUUACCGGGCCAGCAUCGGUUUGGAUGGUAGGAUAAUGACAUUGGAAUGUAGCUUUGCUUCGGUGAAGUGUUAUAGACUUUGUUGAUACUGCCUAUCUAGACCGAGGACUGCGUCUUUGACUAGGAUGCUGGCGUAAUGAUCUUAAGCCGCCCGU
rnacentral:rRNA from 2 species